rnacentral:rRNA from 1 species
ACGGAGGGUGCAAGCGUUAUCCGGAUUUAUUGGGUUUAAAGGGUCCGUAGGCGGAUUAAUAAGUCAGUGGUGAAAGCCUAUCGCUUAACGAUAGAACUGCCAUUGAUACUGUUAGUCUUGAGUGAUGUUGAAGUGGCUGGAAUGUGUAGUGUAGCGGUGAAAUGCUUAGAUAUUACGCAGAACACCAAUUGCGAAGGCAGGUCACUAAGUAUCAACUGACGCUGAUGGACGAAAGCGUGGGGAGCGAACAGGAUUAGAUACCCUGGUAGUCCACGCCGUAAACGAUGGAUACUUGCUGUUGGGGUUUCGGCUUCAGUGGCUAAGCGAAAGUUAUAAGUAUCCCACCUGGGGAGUACGUUCGCAAGAAUG